rnacentral:misc_RNA from 1 species
GGAAAAGAUGGAGGGUCACCAAUUUGGGACAGAAGACCGAUUGAUUGGUUGGAUUUUUGCUGCUAUUGUCACGACAUGGGCUACGAUUCUCAUGAUCAGGCUGAACUUCUCAAAGCAGACCUUGCAUUCCUCGAGUGCUUGGAGAAGCCAAACAUGAGUACGCGAGGAGAUCCUCAUGUAGCUCUACUUUACAAGACUAUGUGCACAUCAGGCCUUAGGAACAUAUUGAUACCUUACAGACAACAACUCAUUACCUUACAAUCUAAGCAACUGUGUUUUGGAUUUGGAUGGCUCGGCGGUAUCAUGGAACCUGCAAAAUGCUUGAAAGAUCGUUUCGUAUGGUUACAGAAGUAGGUAUGUGAACAAUUCCCGCGCUUUCGUUAUGGUGCAGAACAAGACAUUUCUGGCAAGUCUAUUUCCAUAAUGUCUUAAGAUAAGAUAGAUGUAUAUAUGAUAUUGGAAAUGAAUGGAACUGUAGAACUCCAUUAUGGUAUAACUAGUUGUGCAGUUAUUCCACUGUUUGUAUAUUAUUAUCAGUAAACUUUGGAUCA